GUUCAAGAGUACGUGAAACCGUUCAGGGGUAAACCUGAGAAACCCAAAAGAUCGAAUGGGGAGAUUCAUCGUCAGCGCAUUUUGUAUAUAUAUGAGUUGUGAUGCGGGUUACCUUCGGGUAUUGCUUGCACAUUCUUGUAUAUUUAGUUGCAAGAUGUUGUCGGCGUGCACUUCUCCCCUAGUAGAACGUCGCGACCUGUUGGGUGUCGGUCUACGGCCCAAGUGGGAGCCUUUAAUGUUUGACAAUAUUAAAGACCCUUGGUGUUUUCUGACCGACUGCCCGGCGGUAUUCGUACGGUAUUUAGCCGCAUUUUAUAUGCGUCCAUACCCGUCGCAAGCGAGGUUAGAUUUCGGUAGUACGGACUUAGUGCCGUCGCUGUGUCUGACCAGCUGUUGGCUGUACGGUGUUCUAGGACUGGCUAAAAUUUUUCAUUACCGGUCGGCGAUGCUACUGCUUUGGGUACUUUCAGGACCCGUCUUGAAACACGGACCAAGGAGUCUAACAUGUGCGCGAGUCAUUGGGAUUUUUUUAAAAUUAAACCUAAAGGCGUAAUGAAAGUAAAGGUUGGCCUUGUGUCAAUUGAGGGAGGAUGAGUUAUAUUGAGAUAUAGCUCCGCACUCCCGGGGCGUCUCAUUCUCAUUGCGAGAAGAGGCGCACCUAGAGCGUACACGUUGGGACCCG
rnacentral:rRNA from 1 species